rnacentral:rRNA from 1 species
CGCAUCUGUGCAUGCAGCAUAUCAAUAAGCGGAGGAAAAGAAACUAACAAGGAUUCCCCUAGUAACGGCGAGUGAAGCGGGAAGAGCUCAAAUUUGAAAUCUUAAAGGGUUUCCCUUUACGAAUUGUAGUUUAAAGAAGUGUUUUCUGUUGAGGUUUUGGUAAAAGUUCUUUGGAAUAGGACAUCAUAGAGGGUGAGAAUCCCGUAUUUGACCUUUACUUUCAACUUUGUGAUACACUUUCAAAGAGUCGGAUUGUUUGGGAAUGCAGUCCAAAAUGGGUGGUAAAUUUCAUCUAAAGCUAAAUAUUGGCGAGAGACCGAUAGCGAACAAGUACCGUGAGGGAAAGAUGAAAAGAACUUUGAAAAGAGAGUUAAACAGUACGUGAAAUUGUCAAAAGGGAAGCGUUUGACACCAGUGUUGUUUUUCUGAAAAUCAAUUAAAGAACUGUUUAUGCUAAGCUGUUUAGACUUUAUCAGCUAUACUGUUUAGUUUUGAGCUUUUCUUUAAUGCACUUUUCAGUUAACAAGUCAACAUCAAUUUCUUUUGCUGUAAAAAAGCUUGAGGAAGGUGGCUUGAGAUUCGUCUUAAGUGUUUAUAGCCUCUUGCCUAUGCAGUCGGAGAGAUUGAGGUCUGCAGCGUAGAUCCUUCGGGGCUAAAUGCAUUUGUGCUAAGUUAUAGCAUUUUAUAGACAACUUGUUGACUAUGAUUUGUCUUGUAGCUUACUCGCUUAUGUUAUUUUACCUACGCUUAGGAUGUUGAGUCGUAGAGCACGCAG